rnacentral:rRNA from 1 species
CCCCUAGAUGUUCUGGGCCGCACGCGCGCUACACUGAACAGUUCAACAAGUCUUAACCUUGGCCGAUAGGUCUGGGUAAUCUUUGAACGCUGUUCGUGAUUGGGAUAGACCUUUGCAAUUAUGGGUCUUCAACGAGGAAUUCCUAGUAAACGCAAGUCAUCAGCUUGCAUUUAUUACGUCCCUGCCCUUUGUACACACCGCCCGUCGCACCUACCGAUUGAAUGGUCCGGUGAAAUCUCGGGACGGCGGCUUGGUCGCUUGCGUCCGACUGCUGAAACUUGAUUAAACCAUAUCAUUUAGAGGAAGGUGAANUCGUANCA